rnacentral:rRNA from 1 species
AAUAGAUACCCAGGUAGUCCACGCCGUAAACGUUGGGCGCUAGAUGUGGGGACCAUUCCACGGUUUCCGUGUCGCAGCUAACGCAUUAAGCGCCCCGCCUGGGGAGUACGGCCGCAAGGCUAAAACUCAAAGGAAUUGACGGGGGCCCGCACAAGCGGCGGAGCAUGCGGAUUAAUUCGAUGCAACGCGAAGAACCUUACCAAGGCUUGACAUAUACGAGAACGCUCUAGAAAUAGGGAACUCUUUGGACACUCGUAUACAGGUGGUGCAUGGUUGUCGUCAGCUCGUGUCGUGAGAUGUUGGGUUAAGUCCCGCAACGAGCGCAACCCUCGUUCUAUGUUGCCAGCGGUUCGGCCGGGAACUCAUAGGAGACUGCCGGGGUCAACUCGGAGGAAGGUGGGGAUGACGUCAAAUCAUCAUGCCCCUUAUGUCUUGGGCUUCACGCAUGCUACAAUGGCCGGUACAAAGGGCUGCAAUACCGUAAGGUGGAGCGAAUCCCAAAAAGCCGGUCUCAGUUCGGAUUGAGGUCUGCAACUCGACCU